rnacentral:rRNA from 1 species
GACGAACGCUGGCGGCGUGCUUAACUCAUGCAAGUCGAACGGAAAGGCCCUGCUUUUGUGGGGUGCUCGAGUGGCGAACGGGUGAGUAACACGUGAGUAACCUGCCCUUGACUUUGGGAUAACUUCAGGAAACUGGGGCUAAUACCGGAUAGGAGCUCCUGCUGCAUGGUGGGGGUUGGAAAGUUUCGGCGGUUGGGGAUGGACUCGCGGCUUAUCAGCUUGUUGGUGGGGUAGUGGCUUACCAAGGCUUUGACGGGUAGCCGGCCUGAGAGGGUGACCGGCCACAUUGGGACUGAGAUGCGGACCAGACUCCUACGGGAGGCAGAAGUGGGGAAUAUUGCACAAUGGGCGGAAGCCUGAUGCAGCAACGCCGCGUGCGGGAUGACGGCCUUCGGGUUGUAAACCGCUUUCGCCUGUGACGAAGCGUGAGUGACGGUAAUGGGUAAAGAAGCACCGGCUAACUACGUG